rnacentral:rRNA from 1 species
AAUUGGAGGGCAAGUCUGGUGCCAGCAGCCGCGGUAAUUCCAGCUCCAAUAGCGUAUAUUAAAGUUGUUGCAGUUAAAAAGCUCGUAGUUGAAUUUCGGGGUUAGUAGGCUGGUCGUGCCACAGGUAUGAACUGGUCUUACUGACUUCUCCUUUCUGAAGAACUGUAAUGCCAUUAAUUUGGUGUUGCAGGGAAACAGGACUGUUACUUUGAAAAAAUUAGAGUGUUUAAAGCAGGCUAACGCUUGAAUACAUUAGCAUGGAAUAAUGAAAUAGGACGUUCGAUCCUAUUUUGUUGGUUUCUAGGAUUGACGUAAUGAUUAAUAGGGAUAGUUGGGGGCAUUAGUAUUCAAUUGUCAGAGGUGAAAUUCUUGGAUUUAUUGAAGACUAACUACUGCGAAAGCAUUUGCCAAGGAUGUUUUCAUUAAUCAAGAACGAAAGUUAGGGGACCGAAGACGAUCAGAUACCGUCGUAGUCUUAACCAUAAACUAUGCCGACUAGGGAUCGGAUGAUGUUAAUUUUUUAAUGACUCAUUCGGCGCCUUACGGGAAACCAAAGUGU